rnacentral:rRNA from 1 species
GACGAACGCUGGCGGCGUGCUUAACACAUGCAAGUCGAACGAAGUGGCGAACGGGUGAGUAACGCGUCAUAAACUUGCCCUUCAGAGGGGGACACCACUUGGAAACGACUGCUAUUACCCCUUCCUGAAGGAGGGGUUUGCGUCUGAUUAGCUAGUUGGAGGGGUAACGGCCCACCAAGGCGAGGAUCAGUAGCCGGGCUGGGAGGGUGAACGUCCACAUUGGGACUGAGGCACUGCCCAGACUCCUACGGGAGGCAGCAGUGGGGAAUCUUCCGCAAUGGACGAAAGUCUGACGGAGCAACGCCGCGUGAGUGAUGACGGCCUUCGGGUUGUAAAGCUCUGUUAAUCGGGACGCGGUACCGGAAUAGAAAGCCACGGCUAACUACGUGCCAGCAGCCGCGGUAAUUC